GGGAAACCUCCACCCUGGCUAACAUCAUCCUGUCUCUAUGGAAACAAGUGCACUGCUACAAUUUCUGCACUGGGGGGAACCAGAUAGAAUCAAAUUCAUCCUGAACUAAAUGUAUGCAAGGUGCACUUCAAAGUGACUGGGAGAAUGUGUUUGAAGUUUUCAAAGAUGUUUCAAAGUCUUCAAUGCUACUAUGAACAGGAAUCGAAGAUAAAGUGUUUGUAGGUAGCAUUUUAAAACAGCUACAAUUUCAGUGCUGGACGAGCCUCCUGAUUAAACAAGUGGAAAAGCUGUGAUUCAUACUCUCUAAUAAAUGUCAGAAAGAAGAAGAGCAAAGAAGAAAAAACAUCCUAUUAUAGGCAAGUAGUAGCCAGGAAGUAAAAGAAGAACCUGUGUCAAGAAGCAGAAAAAAUCAAAAGCAGCAAAGAAAUUCAAGGGUGACAAAGAAAAGGAUCAUGGCCAUUUUGACGUUCCUGUGGGUCGGUGCUAGCCUUGGAGUAUGUGGUAGUGGCUAUUUUCUACCUGCUAGACGGUCUGAGCUGGAUUCCUUUACUCACAGGGCCAUUCCACUAAUGGAAGAAGUUGAAUAUGCAUAAAUAUAAAUAGAAACGGCCAGGUCUGGCUUUUCCAGGCAGCCUCUAAUGUGU
rnacentral:lncRNA from 1 species